rnacentral:rRNA from 1 species
UACGUAGGGUGCGAGCGUUGUCCGGAAUUAUUGGGCGUAAAGAGCUUGUAGGCGGUUUGUCGCGUCUGCUGUGAAAAUCCGGGGCUCAACCCCGAACUUGCAGUGGGUACGGGCAGACUAGAGUGUGGUAGGGGAGACUGGAAUUCCUGGUGUAGCGGUGAAAUGCGCAGAUAUCAGGAGGAACACCGGUGGCGAAGGCGGGUCUCUGGGCCGAUACUGACGCUGAGGAGCGAAAGCGUGGGGAGCAAACAGG